rnacentral:lncRNA from 1 species
UAUAAAACCUUGUGUUGCUCAUUUGUUUCCAGAGAACAGACAUUUUGGGAUCCCUGCCCAGCACCCAGCCAGGCUGAUGAUGCCUUUUACCUCUCUGGGGCUGUAUUCUAUAAUUUAGAUUGUUUGGAUUGUCUUCUGGACCUACACAUCCAACAAAUAACAUGUAAUUCAUGGAAUUCCAGUUCCUGUGAAAGAGAGAAGAUGGUUUUACUUCACACAACCAUCAAAGGAAGUAGCUCCACUGAAGUCUGGGCAAGUGAUGAUGACACUCUGAAGUCAGCAGGAGGGUAAGGUGGCAGUAAAACCUAGUGUGCAGAAUACUAAACUGGGACUCACAGCAUCAAGUCCCACUGCAGCACUGGGUUUGAUUUGGGUUCUCUCAGCCUCAGUUUCCUCCUGUGUAAACAGCAAUGAUCUCUUUUGUGAAGUCCUUUGAGGUCUGCAGAAGAGAAGUACUGUAAAAAACCUUGCUUGCUAUUAUGCAUAUCUUCAAAACAAAGCUUAAUGCUGCAGCUCUUUGCUGGGUUGGGUGAGUGUGCUGAGCACUUUGUGUGAUCAGGCUGUAGAUUACAUAGGCAGUGGUUUGUAAUAAGAGCCUUAUCAGUAACAAAAACCCUUCUGUCAUUAUCAGACAAGCAACAAUCGCAUUUUAAAAUGGUUGCCAAAUGUGUUUAUUUGAAGAUGGUUGUUCCUAGCAUGGCUCAAACCAUUGUGUGGCAAGUGUUCAAUUGCUUCCCACUAAAGCCAACAUUUAUAGCUUGGAAAACUCUGUUAGAUAAAUGUCAGUUUCUGCCAUAAUUUGUGGAAUCAAUACAAACUGAGUCAAAGAAUCACAAACAGUAAUGUGAAAAUAAAAUGAUCUCUGUUAUGGUUUUUAAGUAAAUG